rnacentral:rRNA from 1 species
CGCAGCCGCGGUAAUUCCAGCUCCAAUAGCGUAUAUUAAAGUUGUUGCAGUUAAAAAGCUCGUAGUUGAACUUCGGGGUUUACCCAUUGGUCAGGCUAUUUGUCUGUACUGGUGAGAUAAAUCUCUACCUUCUGAGGAACUUUCAUGCCAUUCAGUUGGUGUGAUGGGAAAUCAGGACUAUUACUUUGAAAAAAUUAGAGUGUUUAAAGCAGGCUAAAGUCUGAAUACAUUAGCAUGGAAUAAUGAAAUAGGACGGAUUGAUUCUAUUUCGUUGGUUU